rnacentral:rRNA from 1 species
UACGAAGGGGGCUAGCGUUGUUCGGAAUUACUGGGCGUAAAGCGUGCGCAGGCGGCCUUCCAAGUCAGGGGUGAAAGCCCAGAGCUCAACUCUGGAAUUGCCUUUGAUACUGGGGAUCUUGAGUCCGGGAGAGGUUAGUGGAACUGCGAGUGUAGAGGUGAAAUUCGUAGAUAUUCGCAAGAACACCGGUGGCGAAGGCGGCCAACUGGACCAUUACUGACGCUGAGGCGCGAAAGCGUGGGGAGCAAACAGG